rnacentral:rRNA from 1 species
UAACACGUGGGUAACCUGCCUUAUAGUGGGGGAUAGCCUUUCGAAAGGAAGAUUAAUACCGCAUAAGAUUGUAGUAUCGCAUGAUAUAGCAAUUAAAGGAGCAAUUCGCUAUAAGAUGGACCCGCGUCGCAUUAGCUAGUUGGUGAGGUAAUGGCUCACCAAGGCGACGAUGCGUAGCCGACCUGAGAGGGUGAUCGGCCACGUUGGGACUGAGACACGGCCCAGACUCCUACGGGAGGGCAGCAUG